rnacentral:rRNA from 1 species
UACGUAGGUGGCAAGCGUUGUUCGGAAUUACUGGGCGUAAAGGGCGCGUAGGCGGCCUGUUAAGUCGAACGUGAAAUCCCCGGGCUCAACCCGGGAACUGCGUCCGAUACUGGCAGGCUUGAAUCCGGGAGAGGGUAGCGGAAUUCACGGUGUAGCAGUGAAAUGCGUAGAUAUCGUGAGGAACACCAGAGGCGAAGGCGGCUACCUGGACAAUUGCUGACGCUCAGGCACGAAAGCGUGGGGAGCAAAAGGG